rnacentral:tRNA from 1 species
ACCGAGGUGGUGGAAUUGGUAGACACGCUACCUUGAGGUGGUAGUGCCUAUUUUUGGUUUACGGGUUCAACUCCCGUCCUCGGUAUCA